CCUACGGGAGGCAGCAGUGGGGGAUAUUGCACAAUGGGGGGAACCCUGAUGCAGCGACGCCGCGUGGGUGAAGAAGCGCCUCGGCGCGUAAAGCCCUGUCAGCAGGGAAGAAAAUGACGGUACCUGAAGAAGAAGCUCCGGCUAACUACGUGCCAUCAGCCGCGGUAAUACGUAGGGGGCAAGCGUUAUCCGGAUUUACUGGGUGUAAGGGGGGCGCAGACGGCGAUGCAAGCCAGGAGUGAAAGCCCGGGGCCCAACCCCGGGACUGCUCUUGGAACUGCGUGGCUGGAGUGCAGGAGGGGCAGGCUGAAUUCCUGGUGUAGCGGUGAAAUGCGUAGAUAUCAGGAGGAACACCGGUGGCGAAGGCGGCCUGCUGGACUGCAACUGACGUUGAGGCCCGAAAGCGUGGGGAGCAAACAGGAUUAGAUACCCCUGUAGUC
rnacentral:rRNA from 1 species